UGGGAAUUGGAAUCUCGGAGACAAAGCGAUCUGACCGUGUAAACAUGAAUUGCAGUGUUCAAUGUUCUCUCGGCUUCUGCAUAAUUGCCCUAACUGGGAGACUGUAGUUGUGGUGACAUGCAUGACAGUCUUGUAAAGUGAAACAGUGUUCCGAGGCAGAGUAACGAAAUGGAGAGCUGUUCCUAUAUGUGUGCAGAAUGCUUGCAAGCUUUUGAUUCCGUUAAUGUCUUCACUAAGCAUGAGUGCCAGAUAAACACGAUAGAUAAACAAGAAUCCUCCUUUCCUUUGGCAGAAGAGCAAGUACUGAUUAAAAAUUCAUCUCAGACAUCCAACUUGGCAACUGCAGUUACAUACAUUGAAUUGACUGAUACAAGGAAAGAAGAGCAUCAGGAUCCUGUUUCCCAGAACUCUAUUCAAAGUGUACAAAAAAAGAUAGGAGAUGAAACAGGGUCAUCUUCUGGAUUGACAGACGUAAGAGAAUCCUCAUUUUCUAAGUCAUCAGAAGUGGAGUUAGAUGAGAAUGACCCUAGUAAGAAAAAUAUAAAGAAAAGAAAAAAAUAUGAAGCCAUGGAUGAAUCUUACCGUCUUAAUAGGACCAUGAGAGAUAAGGACUUCAAGCUUGCAAGGAGUAAUUUCUAUUCCUUCAAAGACACUCUUGGAGAUUGGGAUGAACGAUCUACUCAGCUACUUAUUCAGCUUAUUCACAAAUAUCCUCUGACAUAUUUCUUGUUGCCUGUAAAGAAUGAAAGAAGAAUGUGUCAUUGGGAAAAAUUGCAUAAAGAAAUGGAAACUGCUGGAUAUAAUUUUACUAUCCUUCAGCUUCGUAUGCGAUGGAGGGAGGUGCUUCAGAAGUAUCGAUGGACAGUGAAUUACAAUGACUUUCAUGAGAUCAAGAAACGAUGUGAAUACUUUGACGAAAUGAACGAGCUUUGUGGUGACUGGGACAAGGAAGCUACCCAAUGUUUACUCAGACAAAUGCAUCGUGUGAAGCAAGAGAAUCAAGGGAAAAAGAUUGUAAGGAUUGGCUACACUGGAUGGGAGAAAAUAACAGAAAAUUUGAACAUGGAAGGACAUAAGUACACAAUACAGAUGGUUGAGGCAAGAUGGCGUAACUUGGUAACGUUAUACAAGACCAUGGUUGACCACAAUAAUAUACCAAAUGUUGAGCCACAGACUGUGGCAUAUAAGGAAGAUCUUGAAGAACUAGUAAAGUAUGUCCCUCAACGACGAAAUAAUUAUGAAAAGAAGGUUGGAAGAUCAGUUAAAAUGGAAAGAUUCCCUUCAAGUGGAUGUCGUAUCCUUUUACAAGCUUACAAAGACUGCAUAAGUCUUUUUAUGAAUCCAGAUGUUGAUAACAAAAUUGUAUGGGAUGAGAUUACUCAGAAACUUGAAGAUGAAGGCUUCAGUUUUAUGACCUGUAAAUUAAAGGAGAUUCUCACGGGAAUGAUAAAGGGCUUUGAAAAAUGCCAGCACCACAACAGCCUGCCAGGAGCCAUUCGCAGGGAUGUGCCAUAUUACAGAGAACUGGCUGAGGUGUAUGGAGUGUAUGGGCGCUGGCCACACAUUCAAAUUUCAAGAACAAUGGAGAUGAGAACAAAAAGGAAAUAUCGUCUCAGACUACAGGUAAGCCAGCAACUCUGGCUGUUUGAAGAAUCACAAGCUCUUCUGCAAGUCUAUCCUGAUAUUCUAGAAGCAUAUGUUAACCAAUAUUCGAGUCAUCAGCCCAGUGAUCUUUGGCUCCAAGUAGCAAAGGCAUAUGCUGCCACUGGUCACCCAAAACGAGAUGUCCCAGAGAUUGCAGUUCAUGUUGCAUUGCUGCGACAAGGCUAUGCUCAAAAUAAUAAAUUUCCUUUCAUUGAAGAGAUGCGAAAAAUUAAAGAAACAGAAGAAGCUGUAUGUUACAGUCCUGAUGUUUCUAAGUACACUGGGGAGGCGGAGAUUACCUACUGGAGCCAUGAAGCUGUUAACCUUCUUUUGGACUUGUAUAUAAAGUAUCAGUCAUCAGCAACUUCUUCUCAUGCCAGUAGAAAUGAAGUUUUCUUGAAAAUCUAUGAUUCAAUGAAAGACAUUGGAUAUAAAUACACAAAAGAUGAAAUAUCGGAGCAGUUUAAGUUUCUUUUGACUCAAUACAACACUAGAAAGUCAAAUCCAUGGAUGCUCCCUCGUGUGGGACGUCAGAGCCACAAUCCUGCUGGCGGACCCUACGUAGUCAAGUUGCAGAAAAUCUCGGAGCUGAGAAGACAGAUGUCAUUAAGUUGGACCAAAGGUUCGCCUGCACAUUGCUGAUGCCAUAAAGAACUUUGAUGUGACAAUUGAUGUGACAAAUGAGAACAAAGAUAUUGCACGCCUCUACAAGCUCUUCAAAGAUUUUGACAUGUUGGGACUAAUUUGUUAUCUAUCUCUUGAGCCUACAAAUUAUGAUUACAGAAUGGACUCUAAGAAGAAACUAUCUUUAACAAAUUCUGUACAAAAUG
rnacentral:misc_RNA from 1 species